rnacentral:lncRNA from 1 species
UUUUACUAUGAGUUCUUGUUGGCCUGGAGGAAAUUCAUCUUCAAGGGUCUCUGGAGACUGGAAAAGAAGCUUGGACUGGGCUGGAGAAAAUUCAACCUGCUCAGGGGGAACUGGAGCUUAAGCAGAGGCCUCCUGCUGCCCUGGAGAAUGUUCAAACUUAGUGGGCACUGGAGUUAUGAAAACCUCCAGAUCUACAGGUUUUGCUGUGAUAUUGGGCAACAUUGGAUGCUGAGCUUCACCAGGACCUAGACGUGAGGAUGUCACCUCAUGAUGUACUGGAGGCUGAGCUACAAUAUCUGUAGAGGACUCUGGAGGCUGAGCCUGGUGCUCAGGCUGGACUGGAGAAGGUUCUACACCUACGACAGGCAUCUGAGGCAAAAGAUGAGCUCCACUGCUGGCUUGGAGAAAGUUCAGUUUCCUCAGGAAGAUCUCCAGUCUGUGUUGGUACUCCCUGCUGAUCUGGAUAAGGUUCAACAUUUUCAGCAGGGGCUGGAUGUUAUUCUGGAAACUCCUGCUGGAUUGGAGAAGGUUCAACCUCACCAGAAGGUUCUGGAUACUGAGCUGUGGCUUCUUGUUGAGUGGCAGAAGGGUUAACUUCCUCAUAGGUCUGUAGAUGCUGACUUGGGGCUUCCUGAUGGGUUGCAGAAGGUUUAACCUCCCCUAGGGGAUUUGGAUGUUGAACUGUGGCCUCUGACUGGGCUGGAACAGGUUCAGUGCCCUCAAGGGACUCUGCAUACUUAGCUGGGGUCUCUGUUUGGGUUGGAGAAGGCUCACCCUCCUCUGGGGUCUGAGGGUGCUGAGUUGGGGACUCCUCCUGGGUUAGAGGAGGUUUGAUCCCCUCGGAGGACUGUGGGUGCUGAGGGGGGCUUCUUGUUGGAUUGGAAAAGGUGCAACCUCCUCAGAGGUCUGUGGAUGCUGACCCUGGCUUUCCUCCUGGGUUAAAGAUUCACUCUUCACAUGAAUCUGUGGAAAUUGAGUGGGAGCCUCUUCCUGAGCUGGAGAUGGUUCUCCCUCCUCAGAGGCCUGUGGAUACUGGGUUGGGGCCUCCUGCUGGGUUGAAGAAGGUUUAGCUUUCUCAGGAGUCUGUGCAUGAUGAUCCUGGCUCUCCUCCUGUAUUGAGGAAGGUUCACCCUCCUCAGGGAUUUGUGGAAGCUCAGCAGGGGCCUCCUGCUGGGGUGGAGAAGGUUCCUUCUCUUCCUGAGUCCCUGGAAGUUGAGCCAGGGCUCCUCCUGGGUUGAAGGUGAUUCACCCUCCUCAGGAGCCUGUGAAUCCUGAGCCAGGGUGUCCUGCUGGGUUGUGGAAGGUUUAACCUCUCCAGGGGUCUGAACAGGGUCUCCUGCUGUGUUGGAGGUUUCUCCUGUGUGGGAGAUUCUGGGGACUCAGUUGGAGUCUCCUGUUGAAAUGGCAAAUGUUCAUUUCUCCUCAGGGGACUGUGGAGGCAGAGUUGGGCUUCAUGCUGGGUUGCAAAAGGUUCCACAUUAAGGGGCACAGAGGGCUGAGUGACAGACUCACGUUGAACUGGCAAAGGUCCCACCUCUGUAGUGGGUUCUGGUGUUACAGUAACCUGCACGCCUGCAGGUUUAACAGUGAUAUUGGGCAGGUUUAACUGUUGAACCUGAUGGUGACCUGGAGGUGCAACUUUCACCUCAUGAUGCUCUAGAGGUUGAGCUGGGUGCUCCUGCUGGGUUGGAAUAGGUUCCACCUCCCCCAAAGACAGCUCUGGUGCUGAGCUGGUUGUUCUUGCGGA